GGGGUUGUGGCUCAGUGGUAGAGCACUCGCCUAGCAUGUGUGAGGCCCUGGGUUCAAACCUCAGCACCACA
rnacentral:tRNA from 1 species